CCUACGGGUGGCAGCAGUGGGGAAUAUUGCACAAUGGGGGAAACCCUGAUGCAGCGACGCCGCGUGCGUGAAGAAGUAUUUCGGUAUGUAAAGCGCUAUCAGCAGGGAAGAAGAAAUGCGGUACCUGACUAAGAAGCCCCGGCUAACUACGUUACAGCAGCCGCGGUAAUACGUAGGGGGCAAGCGUUAUCCGGAUUUACUGGGUGGAAAGGGAGCGUAGACGGCUGUGCAAGUCUGAAGUGAAAGUCCAGGGCUCAACCCUGGGACUGCUUUGGAUACUGUGGAGCUAGAGUGCUGGAGAGGUAAGUGGAAUUCCUAGUGUAGCGGUGAAAUGCGUAGAUAUUAGGAGGAACACCAGUGGCGAAGGCGGCUUACUGGACAGUAACUGACGUUGAGGCUCGAAAGCGUGGGGAGCAAACAGGAUUAGAUACCCGUGUAGUC
rnacentral:rRNA from 1 species